rnacentral:rRNA from 1 species
UCAUAUCAAUAAGCGGAGGAAAAGAAACCAACAGGGAUUGCCCCAGUAACGGCGAGUGAAGCGGCAAGAGCUCAAAUUUGGAAUCUGGCCCCUUUUAGGGACCCGAGUUGUAAUUUGUAGAGGGCGCUUUGGCGAUAGGCUGCGGCCCAAGUUCCUUGGAACAGGAUGUCGUAGAGGGUGAGAGUCCCGUACGCGGCCGCGCGCCUUCGCCUUGUAAAGCCCCUUCGACGAGUCGAGUUGUUUGGGAAUGCAGCUCUAAGUGGGAGGUAAAUCUCUUCUAAAGCUAAAUAACGGCCAGAGACCGAUAGCGCACAAGUAGAGUGAUCGAAAGAUGAAAAGCACUUUGGAAAGAGAGUCAAAAAGCACGUGAAAUUGUUGAAAGGGAAGCGCUUGCGGCCAGACAUGCCCGCGGUCGCUCAUCCGGACCCCCCUAAUUGUCCGGUGCAGUCUCCCGUGAGCAGGCCAGCAUCGGUCUGGGCGGUUGGACAAAGGCCUCGGGAAUGUAGCUCCCCCCCCGGGGAGUGUUAUAGCCCGGGGCGCAAUGCAGCCAGCCGAGACCGAGGCCCGCGCGUCGUGCUACGAUGCUGGCGUAAUGGCCGCAAGCGGCCCGUCUUGAAACACGGACCAAGGAGUCUAACAUCCAUGCGAGUGUUUGGGUGUCAAGCCCGAGCGCGCAGUGAGAGCGAAUGGAGGUGGGAACCCCCCCGGGGGCGCACCAUCGACCGAUCCUGAUGUCCUCGGAUGGAUUUGAGUAAGAGCAUGGCUGUUGGGACCCGAAAGAUGGUGAACUAUGCCUGGAUAGGGUGAAGCCAGAGGAAACUCUGGUGGAGGCUCGCAGCGGUUCUGACGUGCAAAUCGAUCGUCAAAUCUGGGCAUAGGGGCGAAAGACUAAUCGAACUAUCUAGUAGCUGGUUCCUGCC